AGGGAAUCUUCCGCAAUGGACGAAAGUCUGACGGAGCAACGCCGCGUGAGUGAUGAAGGUUUUCGGAUCGUAAAGCUCUGUUGCCAGGGAAGAACGUCCGUUAGAGUAACUGCUAACGGAGUGACGGUACCUGAGAAGAAAGCCCCGGCUAACUACGUGCCAGCAGCCGCGGUAAUACGUAGGGGGCAAGCGUUGUCCGGAAUUAUUGGGCGUAAAGCGCGCGCAGGCGGCUGUUUAAGUCUGGUGUGUAAUCCUGGGGCUCAACCCCGGGUCGCACUGGAAACUGGACAGCCUGAGUGCAGAAGAGGAGAGUGGAAUUCCACGUGUAGCGGUGAAAUGCGUAGAGAUGUGGAGGAACACCAGUGGCGAAGGCGGCUCUCUGGUCUGUAACUGACGCUGAGGCGCGAAAGCGUGGGGAGCAAAC
rnacentral:rRNA from 1 species